GUGAAUACGUUCCCGGGCCUUGUACACACCGCCCGUCACACCAUGGGAGUGGGCUGCAAAAGAAGUGGGUAGCUUAACCUUCGGGGGGGCGCUCACCACUUUGUGGUUCAUGACUGGGGUGAAGUCGUAACAAGGUAGCCCUAGGGGAACCUGGGGCUGGAUCACCUCCUUA
rnacentral:rRNA from 1 species